rnacentral:tRNA from 2 species
GCACUAGUAGCUCAGUCUAGAGCGCCGGCCUUGUAAGCCGGAGGCCGAAAGUUAAAAUCUUUCCUACUGCU